UACGUAGGGGGGCUAGCGUUGUCCGGAAUCAUUGGGCGUAAAGCGCGUGUAGGCGGCCCGAUAAGUCCGCUGUGAAAGUCCAGGGCUCAACCCUGGGAUGCCGGUGGAUACUGUCGGGCUCGAGUCCGGAAGAGGCGAGUGGAAUUCCUGGUGUAGCGGUGAAAUGGCGCAGAUAUCAGGAGGAACACCAAUGGCGAAGGCAGCUCGCUGGGACGUGACUGACGCUGAGACGCGAAAGCGUGGGGAGCAAACAGG
rnacentral:rRNA from 1 species